rnacentral:rRNA from 1 species
AGCGCAGUCUACACAUGCAGUCGAGCGGAAACGGCAGUAUUGAAGCUUCGGUGGAUUUACUGGACGUCGAGCGGCGGACGGGUGAGUAACGGCUGGGAACCUGCCCUGACGAGGGGGAUAACCGUUGGAAACGACGGCUAAUACCGCAUAAUGUCUACGGACCAAAGGUGGCCUCUACAUGUAAGCUAUCGCGUUGGGAUGGGCCCAGUUAGGAUUAGCUAGUUGGUAAGGUAACGGCUUACCAAGGCGACGAUCCUUAGCUGGUUUGAGAGGAUGAUCAGCCACACUGGGACUGAGACGCGGCCCAGACUCCUACGGGAGGCAGCAGUGGGGAAUAUUGCACAAUGGGGGAGACCCUGAUGCAGCCAUGCCGCGUGUGUGAAGAAGGCCUUCGGGUUGUAAAGCACUUUCAGCAGUGAGGAAGGUAGUGUACUUAAUACGUGCAUUGCUUGACGUUAGCUGCAGAAGAAGCACCGGCUAACUCCGUGCCAGCAGCCGCGGUAAUACGGAGGGUGCGAGCGUUAAUCGGAAUUACUGGGCGUAAAGCGCAUGCAGGCGGUUUGUUAAGUCAGAUGUGAAAGCCCGGGGCUCAACCUCGGA